CCUUAUCAAUUACAUAAUUUUGCAACUAUCAUUUAUUCAUAAAGCUAGUUAACAAUCGAUUUUGAUUAAAGAAAUAAUUAUUAAGGCUUUUGCAAGUGCAUAAUUAAUAAAUAAAGUCCCAAGGCCAUGUCACUGAAGCUAUCGCAGUGUACACAAGAUGGCUGACCAUCACUGUAAUAAAUGCGAACCUCUAUAAGAAGAACGUAAAAUUAUUAUAAAAUUCACAUAUGCACCAGCGAUGAAAUAUUACUUAAGGUAGAAUAUUCACUGACGAUAUUAAUUACAAACGUCUAAAGCCUUCAAGGUUAGCUCAUCGAAAUUAUUACAAGUGCUAAAAUUCAAGAGCGGCGAAUCACUAAGGUGAUCACCACUGUAAUAGAUGGGAACCCCUAUUUAAAAUAUGUGCAAAUAUUAUAACGCUUGAAUAAUGAAAUAUUACGCGCAACUAAAUAUUCAUUAAUAACACACUUGCGAAGGUUUAAAAAAUAUGAAAGUUACAUACACUGGAACCCCGCGUUAGCGGACUGUUCGGGGCUUUGGUCCGCUAACGCGGGGUUAUCUCCUAUUGCUUGGUUUCACUCCCACUCCGUGAAAUACGUGACUGCAUUGCUCAUUGCUAUCCCCACACACGCUACUCAUGUGGGCCGAGUGCAUAUGGAGGGGAUAGUUUCCGCUAACGCGGAGUACGCUAACGCGGGGUUCCAGUGUAUA